rnacentral:lncRNA from 1 species
GGAUGUGGUCUGUUAGGUAAGGAUGCCUGAGGUAGUAAUUUGAACUGAACUCUAAAAGGUGACUAUCAAUUAUCUAGAAGAACAGGUGGUGUGAAGAGCCUUCAAGGGCCAGAGAACAGUCAGUAAGGAGAAUACGGUUGGUAAAAUAUUGAAGAGCAUCUGAAAAGGCAGUUUGGCUGGGACAGAGUAAGAGACGAGGUAGCACAGUUUAAGCUGGAGCCAAGCUAUCCAGAGAACUUCUUUGAAUAUAGCUCUACCCUGGGCAUGAUGAACUCCAAUACGGAGUAAAUGUGCCUUUGCUGCCUGCCAGCUUCCACUUCCUCCCCACAAGACAAAUGCAUAUGAAGACAGUAUGCACUCGUCUGGCCUCAUUUAGGCAAAGAAGCCAACAUAACACAGAGACUGAGACUCUGAAGAAUGUGAUAUGGAGAUGGAAAAAUGGGGGACAACUAAAGUUACCUGUUGGAAGAGUAUGAGAUUGCCUUAAUGAUAUAUUUGAUUUUAAUAACUCCAAGGUGGCUGACCUCUUAACUUGGUGCCUGGGUCUAUAAUUAAGGGUCAUAACUUCCAAGCCUUAUAAUUUCUUUCCUAGUGCUAUAGGCAAAGAAACACUCAUAUGCUGAGCAUCAUCUCAAAUUCUUGGACUGCUUAUCUAUGCUAGGAAGAAGUAGUCAAUUAUAACUAGGGAUGGUGCUCAUUUGCAAAGUCAGAACCCAAUUAUUUUCCUGAGAAGCUGGACAUUGAAGUGUUUGGGAUGAACUGAUUCCAUCUUGUUACCUCUAAGGAUCUUGCUGUUAUUUAUCAACUGCAUUUCACAGAUUUAUAUAAUGCUCAGCUUCUGUAUGAAGUACAGAAUGACACAAAGCUUACAAUCUCCUACUAUAAGGAGAAUAAGAGUGAGAGCAAGAAAUUGAGAGAGGAGGAAUGAAAGGAAAGAAGGAAGGAAGGAAGGAAGGAAGGAAGGAAGGAAGGAAGGAAGGAAGGAAGGAAAAGAUAAAGUGUAGGGGUGGUAGUGUGUAUUAGCAGAGGAGUGGAUAGCUAAACCAAAAUAAUCUGGUUUUAUUUUUUCAGGAGGCUUUUGAAUUCAUGUCUCAAAAUUUGUUUUCUCUGUUUUAU